rnacentral:rRNA from 1 species
AGGACGAACGCUGGCGGCGUGCUUAACACAUGCAAGUCGAGCGGAAAGGCCCUUCGGGGUACUCGAGCGGCGAACGGGUGAGUAACACGUGAGCAACCUGCCCUUAGCUUCGGGAUAGCUCCGGGAAACCGGAAUUAAUACCGGAUAUGACUAUGGCCGACAUCAGCCAUGGUGGAAAGUUUUUCGGCUAGGGAUGGACUCGCGGCCUAUCAGCUAGUUGGUGAGGUAACGGCUCACCAAGGCGACGACGGGUAGCCGGCCUGAGAGGGCGACCGGCCACACUGGGACUGAGACACGGCCCAGACUCCUACGGGAGGCAGCAGUGGGGAAUAUUGCGCAAUGGGCGAAAGCCUGACGCAGCGACGCCGCGUGGGGGAUGAAUGCCUUCGGGUUGUAAACCCUUUCAGCAGGGACGAAGCGAAAGUGACGGUACCUGCAGAAGAAGCGCCGGCUAACUACGUGCUAGCAGCCGC